CCACUGACCAUCUUGGCGCUGUAACCGCCUCAACUCCGUCUCUCUCCCUCCACUUUUCAUUCAACUUCAGUGGCUGGAGAACAGACGACAACAGACAUGGAGCUCACUGACUCAGUUGCACGCACGAUUCGUUUUAUCCAACAAAGGCCUGCGUGUAAAGAAAUCAAAUUUUUUUCCUGGGAGGAUCAAAGUUGUUUUCCAAAAGCGACCUGGAGGGAGCACAUUUCACCAGUUUUAAAAUCCCUUUACUUUUAAGGCUCUUGGGGGCUGGCUCCAGAAUACAUAGCUGACCUCCUGACCCCUGAGCCUGUAUGCAACCUGAGAUCCUCUGACUGCCUGUUGGAAAUGAGGCAUCAUGUGAAGCAGGGGAAACAUGUCUCUGACUCCCGGACCACCAACACCCGGCUACCCCUAAGGCUGUUCCUUCUCCCCUUCUUGCUCGGCCUCACCCUCCCUCAUCACUCUGUGUGACCCCUUGUCAGCACUAUGGAGUCCUUCCGGUUCCUUGGCACCAUCAUAUCCCAGGACCUCAAGUGGGAGCUGAACAUCAGCUCCCUCAUCAAAGAACCACAGCAGAGGAUGUACUUCCUGCUGCAGCUGAAGAAAUUCAACGUGCCAAAGGCGGUGAUGGUGCACUUCUACACGGCCAUCAUUGAGUCCAUCUUCCCAUCCUUCAUCACCGCUGGUACGCUGCUGCCACUCCCAAGGGAAGACUGCAGCUUAUCAUUUGCUCUACAGAGAAGGUGAUUGGCUGCAAACUGCCAUCCCUUCUUGACCUGUACUCCUCCAGGACUGUGAGGCGUGCAGGUCAGACAACUGACAACUGUGCCACUCCCCUCUGGCAGAAGGCUGCGAUCCAUCAGAACCAAAACUUCAUGCCAUAAGAACAGCUUCUUCCCCACGGCAGCUGGCCUUAUCAACAAGGUCAGAGACCCCCCACUGACACUGACCUCCCCUCUGGACAUUUAACGCACACAUCAUCCCUGCUCAUUCCACAACUUCGACUUUUUGCAUCUUCUCCUGAACAUCCUGCACAAAUCUCAGCAACACAUUGCACAAGUUUGACAUUUUAUAUACAUUUUUUUGUCCAGUUUGCUUCAGUUUAUUUCUCUUCUCUUGUACUUAAUGCUACAGUGUAAUUUGCUUCUCUAAUUUUUUAUUUUGACUGUUAUGUACGAGUUACCAAGGCAAAUUCUUUGUAUUUGAGAGCCUACUUGGCAAUAAAUCGGAUUCUGAUUCUGGGUGUAAGAAUUGUUUUAACACUGUAUGACGGAUUAAAGUCUUUAAGAAGCUGUUCUUGUGUCUGGUUGUUAGCAAACAGCAUUUAGCUCAAAAUUCCACUGAAGGCACGUUGGAAUAUAUUUAAUAA